rnacentral:rRNA from 1 species
GUCCACGCCCUAAACGAUGAUAACUCGUUGUUGGCGAUACACAGUCAGCGACUAAGCGAAAGCAUUAAGUUAUCCACCUGGGGAGUACGACCGCAAGGUUGAAACUCAAAGGAAUUGACGGGGGCCCGCACAAGCGGAGGAGCAUGUGGUUUAAUUCGAUGAUACGCGAGGAACCUUACCUGGGCUUGAAAGUUAGUGACAUUCUGUGAAAGCAGAACUUCCGCAAGGACACGAAACUAGGUGCUGCAUGGCUGUCGU